rnacentral:rRNA from 1 species
UACGAAGGGGGCUAGCGUUGCUCGGAAUUACUGGGCGUAAAGGGCGCGUAGGCGGGUGUUUAAGUCAGAGGUUAAAUCCCAGGGCUCAACCCUGGAACUGCCUUUGAUACUGGGCACCUAGAGUUCGGGAGAGGUGAGUGGAAUGCCGAGUGUAGAGGUGAAAUUCGUAGAUAUUCGGCGGAACACCAGUGGCGAAGGCGACUCACUGGCCCGAUACUGACGCUGAGGCGCGAAAGCGUGGGGAGCAAACAGG